GGCGUACGAGAUGGGGAAAGAGGAGUUUAGAAUGUACAGUUAUUCAUCGUUUUUUAAACGGAAAAUGUGGUAAUGUUAUGGUACGAGAACAGGAAUAUUCUAYAGCUAUGUGGGAUACCUGCAGUGGAGGCACGAUAAUUGGCUAAAGAGAACUUGAAAGCACGACAGAGAUCCAAAGAGCAAGCAUCAAACUYAGGUCGAUCUUUUCCUAGAUGGAAGUGCAAUUACAACAGUUCUGACACCAUGUAAUMAGCUUAAUAGAUGAAUAAAUCCAAAGACAAUGGAUAACAAGACUUUACUCUAAGAAAAACAUGGAGGUCACACAGGACCACACAAGCAUGAUGGGAAAUAUUAAUACAKGCAACCCAACUACAUAAGAUUGCAAGGAAUAUUUCUAUUGUAAGACUCUUAGGAAUAAUCCUAAAAUAACUGAGCAAAGGGGUAAAAACUGUGUAGGGCAUAAYCAGAGGUACAAAUGCUAAUGGGAGGAGCUAAGAGGUUCGCUUKAGAUUUCAAUGUAUACCAAUAUCUAAACUUGUGCAUGAUGGUACUCGUGCUGAAAUAUUAUAUUGGUAUUUUGUAUAGUUAACGGACUGAAGAAUGAUAAUUUUUAUUUUGUUUUCAUAAGAUGAGUAGUGGUAAUAUGGAGACUGAUGUCUCGCUUACAUAUAGUUCAUCUGUAAAAAUAUUUAUUUUUCUCUCUCAUAACAUACCUCCCUCCUGAGUUUUGAGCUCCUGCRAGGAUAAGGUACGAAAGGAAAAAAAUUGAAACUAGCAUGUUAGUGAUAGAUAUGAUUUGAGAAUAUAUAUAGGUAUAUAUAUAACUAAAAACAUUGUUGAACCUAUGAUAAAGCUCUUACAUGUAUAUCUGUGUCUCUUUCUUUUUUAARAUGUUUUUUGUAUGUUUUUUUGUUGAAUAAUCUUAAUAAGAAAAUUGUAAUAUACAAGGAUAAAUGUGUUUAAUAAAACCAGCUAUACUACAAUUUUCUCCAAAAUUAAAUGUGCUACCUAGUAUUUUGGAGAACCAUCCAUGCAUUUUACCAGCCAUCCGCUUCACAGUGUAGAAAACUUCCUUGACCAACAUUGCUAGGGGAAAAAGGGGGAAAGUGGCACAUUAUUUUUGCAGAAGAUUAUAUUUUAAUGGCAUGUUUGGAAUGCGUAGUUUGGACGGAUCAUUCGGUUAGUAAAAUCAUAUGUUUGGAGUGAGAAAUCAUUUA